rnacentral:rRNA from 1 species
AUGGCUCAGGAUGAACGCUGGCGGCGUGCUUAACACAUGCAAGUCGAACGAUGACUCUGUGCUUGCACAGAUGAUUAGUGGCGAACGGGUGAGUAACACGUGAGUAACCUGCCCUUGACUCUGGGAUAAGCCUGGGAAACUGGGUCUAAUACUGGAUAUGCACCGUGGACCGCAUGGUUCUUGGUGGAAAGAUUUUAUUGGUCAAGGAUGGACUCGCGGCCUAUCAGCUUGUUGGUGAGGUAAUGGCUCACCAAGGCGACGACGGGUAGCCGGCCUGAGAGGGUGACCGGCCACACUGGGACUGAGACACGGCCCAGACUCCUACGGGAGGCAGCAGUGGGGAAUAUUGCACAAUGGGCGAAAGCCUGAUGCAGCGACGCCGCGUGAGGGAUGACGGCCUUCGGGUUGUAAACCUCUUUCAGUAGGGAAGAAGCGAAAGUGACGGUACCUGCAGAAGAAGCGCCGGCUAACUACGUGCCAGCAGCCGCGGUAAUACGUAGGGCGCAAGCGUUAUCCGGAAUUAUUGGGCGUAAAGAGCUCGUAGGCGGUUUGUCGCGUCUAUCGUGAAAGUCCGAGGCUCAACCUCGGAUCUGCGGUGGGUACGGGCAGACUAGAGUGAUGUAGGGGAGACUGGAAUUCCUGGUGUAGCGGUGAAAUGCGCAGAUAUCAGGAGGAACACCGAUGGCGAAGGCAGGUCUCUGGGCAUUAACUGACGCUGAGGAGCGAAAGCAUGGGGAGCGAACAGGAUUAGAUACCCUGGUAGUCCAUGCCGUAAACGUUGGGCACUAGGUGUGGGGGACAUUCCACGUUUUCCGCGCCGUAGCUAACGCAUUAAGUGCCCCGCCUGGGGAGUACGGCCGCAAGGCUAAAACUCAAAGGAAUUGACGGGGGCCCGCACAAGCGGCGGAGCAUGCGGAUUAAUUCGAUGCAACGCGAAGAACCUUACCAAGGCUUGACAUGUGCUAGAUCGCCAUAGAAAUAUGGUUUCCCCUUUUGGGGCUGGUUCACAGGUGGUGCAUGGUUGUCGUCAGCUCGUGUCGUGAGAUGUUGGGUUAAGUCCCGCAACGAGCGCAACCCUCGUUCUAUGUUGCCAGCACGUGAUGGUGGGGACUCAUAGGAGACUGCCGGGGUCAACUCGGAGGAAGGUGGGGACGACGUCAAAUCAUCAUGCCCCUUAUGUCUUGGGCUUCACGCAUGCUACAAUGGCCGGUACAAUGGGUUGCGAUACUGUGAGGUGGAGCUAAUCCCAAAAAGCCGGUCUCAGUUCGGAUUGG